GGCCUCGGUAAUAUGAUACGGGUGGCUAAUCUCCAUAGAUGGUCUGACACCAAAUAUAGGUGGAGAUGGAAACUGGGGUAUCAAAGCCUGAAAGCCCCCGUGUGGAGGUCCAUGUGGAAAAGGAAGGAAACCAUUAGGGAGAGGGGAAGACCAAUUUGGGGCACCCCUCCAAGCAUUUACUUGACCUCGUCCCAAGUUGUGAUCCCCACUCCUCUUGUAGCGGCCAGCAGCGUUGACUCUACCAUCAUCAUCAAAUGAGCCCAUAAAAGACGGGCUGCUAACACCCCCUCUCAUGGAUGGUGGAGGGUGAUUCAAAACAGAAUUGGUCUGAUUAGAUCUGUUGUGAAAAGAGGAAUCAUUUAAACUGGAAUCAUCUUUCUCC
rnacentral:lncRNA from 1 species